rnacentral:rRNA from 1 species
AGUGAACGCUGGCGGUAGGCUAACACAUGCAAGUCGAACGGCAGCACAGAGGAGCUUGCUCCUUGGGUGGCGAGUGGCGGACGGGUGAGGAAUACAUCGGAAUCUACUCUGACGUGGGGGAUAACGGAGGGAAACUUACGCUAAUACCGCAUACGACCUACGGGUGAAAGCAGGGGACCUUCGGGCCUUGCGCGAUUGAAUGAGCCGAUGUCGGAUUAGCUAGUUGGCGGGGUAAAGGCCCACCAAGGCGACGAUCCGUAGCUGGUCUGAGAGGAUGAUCAGCCACACUGGAACUGAGACACGGUCCAGACUCCUACGGGAGGCAGCAGUGGGGAAUAUUGGACAAUGGGCGCAAGCCUGAUCCAGCCAUACCGCGUGGGUGAAGAAGGCCUUCGGGUUGUAAAGCCCUUUUGUUGGGAAAGGAAUCCAGCUGGCUAAUACCCGGUUGGGAUGACGGUACCCAAAGAAUAAGCACCGGCUAACUUCGUGCCAGCCGCCGCGGUAA